ensembl:lncRNA
CCUUUUCAACCCAGGACAUUCCAGGAUUCUAUGAUUCUUCUCUUGAUGACGUCUGUGCCUCAGACAAAUGGAUCCCACAGGUGGGAGUGGGAGCAGGAAGAGUCCUUCUUUGGGGCUUUGAUUCCUUUUGAACUGGAACUGAGAAGAAAAGACCAAAGCACAUGAACAUCUCAAUGUUUUGCCCGAAGUUGAAGCUACAGAGAUGAACGCGUUUUGCCAAUUCAACCAGUUGUUACCCUUACACAUCCUGUCAAAAAGUACUGAGCUGGACAGACAAACAUAGGAGCACUGUCUGCCCACCUGGGGCUGACUGAU